AUUGAACGCUGGCGGCAUGCCUUACACAUGCAAGUCGAACGGCAGCACGGGAGCAAUCCUGGUGGCGAGUGGCGAACGGGUGAGUAAUAUAUCGGAACGUGCCCAGUCGUGGGGAUAACGUAGCGAAAGCUACGCUAAUACCGCAUACGAUCUAUGGAUGAAAGCGGGGGAUCGCAAGACCUCGCGCGAUUGGAGCGGCCGAUAUCAGAUUAGGUAGUUGGUGAGGUAAAGGCUCACCAAGCCGACGAUCUGUAGCUGGUCUGAGAGGACGACCAGCCACACUGGGACUGAGACACGGCCCAGACUCCUACGGGAGGCAGCAGUGGGGAAUUUUGGACAAUGGGCGCAAGCCUGAUCCAGCAAUGCCGCGUGCAGGAUGAAGGCCUCGGUUGUAACUAGC
rnacentral:rRNA from 1 species